rfam:Ornithorhynchus anatinus chromosome 2, whole genome shotgun sequence.
CCCCUCUCAGGAUUACAACUGUAGAGUUUCCAGUAUUCUACCAGUCUUGGCUAUGGGAGGGAGAAUCAAGCACAGAGGCAUACCCAUUCCAUUCCUAGUUUUGUCAAUGGCUAGCGAAUGGAAAGCAAUCUGCUACAAGU